CCUACGGGCGGCAGCAGUGAGGAAUAUUGGUCAAUGGACGAGAGUCUGAACCAGCCAAGUAGCGUGAAGGAUGACUGCCCUACGGGUUGUAAACUUCUUUUAUAAAGGAAUAAAGUGAGGCCCGUGUGCCUUUUUUUAUGUACUUUAUGAUUAAGGAUCGGCUAACUCCGUGCCAGCAGCCGCGGUAAUACGGAGGAUCCGAGCUUUAUCCGGAUUUAUUGGGUUUAAAGGGAGCGUAGAUGGGUUGUUAAGUCAGUUGUGAAAGUUUGCGGCUCAACCGUAAAAUUGCAAUUGAUACUGGCAGUCUUGAGUACAGUUGAGGUAGGCGGAAUUCGUGGUGUAGCGGUGAAAUGCUUAGAUAUCACGAAGAACUCCGAUUGCGAAGGCAGCUUACUAAACUGCCACUGACAUUGAUGCUCGAAAGUGUGGGUAUCAAACAGGAUUAGAUACCCCAGUAGUC
rnacentral:rRNA from 1 species